rnacentral:rRNA from 1 species
AGGACGAACGCUGGCGGCGUGCCUAACACAUGCAAGUCGAACGGGACCAGGGGCAACUCUGGUUCAGUGGCGGACGGGUGCGUAACACGUGAGGAACAUGACCUUCGGCGGGGGAUAGCCGGCCCAACGGCCGGGUAAUACCGCGUACGACCUUUCGGGGACAUCCCCGGAUGGUGAAAGCAGCAAUGCGCCGAUGGAGUGCCUCGCGGCCUAUCAGCUAGUUGGUGAGGUAACGGCUCACCAAGGCAACGACGGGUAGCUGGUCUGAGAGGAUGGCCAGCCACAUUGGGACUGAGACACGGCCCAGACUCCUACGGGAGGCAGCAGUGGGGAAUAUUGCGCAAUGGACGAAAGUCUGACGCAGCGACG